AGAGUUUGAUCCUGGCUCAGAACGAACGCUGGCGGCAGGCUUAACACAUGCAAGUCGAACGGUUGUAGCAAUACAGCCGUGGCGCACGGGUGAGUAACGCGUGGGAAUAUGCCCUUUAGUACGGAAUAACAGCGGGAAACUGCUGACAAUACCGUAUACGCCCUUCGGGGGAAAGAUUUAUCGCUAAAGGAUUAGCCCGCGUAAGAUUAGGUAGUUGGUGGGGUAAUGGCCUACCAAGCCUACGAUCUUUAGCUGGUCUGAGAGGACGAUCAGCCACACUGGAACUGAGACACGGUCCAGACUCCUACGGGAGGCAGCAGUGGGGAAUAUUGGACAAUGGGCGCAAGCCUGAUCCAGCCAUGCCGCGUGAAUGAUGAAGGCCUUAGGGUUGUAAAGUUCUUUUAGGUGGGAAAAUACUGAUGGUACCACCAGAAAAAGCCCCGGCUAACUUCGUGCCAGCAGCCGCGGUAAUACGAAGGGGGCUAGCGUUGUUCGGAAUCACUGGGCGUAAAGCGUACGCAGGCGGCUAUACAAGUCAGGGGUGAAAUCCCAGAGUUUAACUCUGGAACUGCCUUUGAAACUGUAUAGCUAGAGUAUGGUAGGGGAUAGCGGAAUUGCUAAUGUAGAGGUGAAAUUCGUAGAUAUUAGCAGGAACACCAGUGGCGAAGGCGGCUAUCUGGACCAUAACUGACGCUCAUGUACGAAAGCGUGGGGAUCAAACAGGAUUAGAUACCCUGGUAGUCCACGCCGUAAACGAUGAGUGCUAGACGUUGGACCCUUCGGGUUCAGUGUCGCAGCUAACGCGUUAAGCACUCCGCCUGGGAAGUACGGUCGCAAGAUUAAAACUCAAAGGAAUUGACGGGGACCCGCACAAGCGGUGGAGCAUGUGGUUUAAUUCGAGGCAACGCGAAGAACCUUACCAGGCCUUGACAUGGUUAGUUUAGUUUCCAGAGAUGGAUCCUUUCAGUUCGGCUGGCUAACACACAGGUGCUGCAUGGCUGUCGUCAGCUCGUGUCGUGAGAUGUUGGGUUAAGUCCCGCAACGAGCGCAACCCUCGUCUUUAGUUGCCAUCAGGUUAUGCUGGGCACUCUAAAGAAACUGCCGGUGAUAAGCCGGAGGAAGGUGGGGAUGACGUCAAGUCUUCAUGGCCCUUACGGCCUGGGCUACACACGUGCUACAAUGGCAGUGACAGUGCGCCGCUACCUCGCGAGGGGAAGCUAAUCGCAAAAAACUGCCUCAGUUCAGAUUGUACUCUGCAACUCGAGUACAUGAAGUUGGAAUCGCUAGUAAUCGCGGAUCAGCAUGCCGCGGUGAAUACGUUCCCGGGUCUUGUACACACCGCCCGUCACACCAUGGGAGUUGGUUCUACCUUAAGUCGCCCUUAAAAGCGCCCACGGUAGGGUCAAUGACUGGGGUGAAGUCGUAACAAGGUA
rnacentral:rRNA from 1 species